ACCUAAACCCGAUCGAAGUGGUUCCGAUUUAAGUACUAUUCUUUUGUUUUUUUAUUGUGUGCUUGCUUGUUUCACAGGUUUCAUCGGAAGGAACGGAGAGCGGGGCUACAC
rnacentral:sRNA from 1 species